rnacentral:lncRNA from 1 species
GGCCCAUGAACUCGUUUUAAAGUUGAAGCAAUUUUAAAUGAUAAAAACCAGUCGAAAAAAUUCAAGUUUUCCCGACAUAUCACAGUUUGACGUCGCGAACAUAGCUUUUUACAUUAGCAACGUCAUUAGCUCCCCUGUACCUGUAUCGUAUGAGUUGAUGCAAGUAUAUAUAAUAUAAAAGAUGUAUAUGUACUUAUUUAAGUUGUUUGGUAAAUGUACAUGACUUAGUAACGGUUCAAUGUUAUUAUUUAUUUUGUUUAUUUAUUGUAUGUUCUUUUUGACCGAGUUAGUUAGGUUACAUUUUACAAUGUCUACCGGAUUUAUUUGCCCUAUACAUACGUUAUUUCCUGCAAAGUAAUCUAUAACAUAUAUCUCGUUGUGACCAGUGAUUGUUUAAAUUUUGUUGUUUUCCCCGCUUCAGAGUAAUGAUUGUUUUGCUAAAUGUAUCAAUUCUGCAGUCGAAUUCUUUAUUUCACAAGAAGUGUUGUGCAAAGUUAGAGUUUAUUAUUAUAAUGAUGAAAAAUUAUUCCUAUUUACAUUUUAUAUUUGCAAUAUAUUUUUCGCGAAUAUAAAAUU